UUCUUUCUUUCUCUUACAGUCUCCUCAGAGCUCAGUGACCUAAGCCAGCACUCACCAAAGCCAGCACCCACCUCCUGUAGAAGUCCCUGUAAGGAGGAGUGGAGCACGCAUAGCACUCCAUACUCACCUUUCUUGCAGUAUUUAUAUUGGAGAGGACAUCCAUAUGCAUAUCGUCAGUCAGCCUGACUCCUUUAUUACAGAAGAAAUAUGUGAUAGCUCUUCUAGGAAACACUGCUUACAGGAGUUGCUGGCACAUCUUGUGUUUAUGGACAUCCCACAGUGAAUGAACUACCCCAUUACGUUCCUUUUUAUUGCUAUUUUUUAACUUUUUUUUUUUUUUUAAACCCAAACUACAGUGCUCUGGCCAGUGUCAGAGCCACAGUGAAAAAGAGACAAACUGGAGGACAAGCAAGCAUCUGAGGAUGGAAAUGCUUCUGGUACGGUCUGGAUGGUGAAAGAGGAGAAUAUGUUUUUUCUCUGUGAUAAGAUGACUGAAAAACAGUAAACCUGAGGUUAGUCAAACUCUCUCUCCAUCCAUCUGUUCACCUGCCUUGACAAUGUGUGAACCUGCUGGGCAGUUUCAGCCCAAUUUCACGGAAGCCGGAACCAUAAUCUAAGAAGGAAUAAUACAAGAAUUGCAGACCAUGUUUCCAGAUUUUCUUAAAGAGAGGAAAAUGCAGAGGGAAUAACUGACAAAGUAAAGGAGAAGAUGUGAAUGGAAUUGACAUAUCAGGGAAUGGCUUGAGUCUCUUUCGUUAUGAAACUUUAAUGGCAAACCCUUAUAAGAAAACCAAACAAAGCCUCCCAACAACAUGAAAGAUACUCCAAAAAAGGAUGCUGAAGUUACACCAGUUGUGAUAAAGAAACUUACACCAUUGUUUGCUUCCACAUGUGGAAAAUAGCCCUUGGAUGCUGCAUAAAUGCAGUGCAACAGAAAAUGCCACACUGAGUAUAGGAAACAGAUCAGGAUGAAGAUAUAUGUAUUCUGCUAUGAAAUUAUCAAAGGUCUCCAAAGCUAUAGAUGUUGCUAUAAAUAGCUUGACAUUCUGAUUACCAGAAGCUUCAAAGGAGUCUUCAUAUUGGAUCCUUUUCCAUCUAAGGCCAAAUGAGACUUCAGCCUUUGAAUGCACCUGGAAUGGUAAGAAACAGUGGUAGGCAGCAGCAGUAGCUUCCCAGAGGUACUGAAAGGAUUUGUGAAGAAAUUCCUUCACUUUGAAUUCAGACGAGUUGAUGAUACCUGAAUUAGCAUUAUUUUAAAGAGUACCAUCCUUAUCACAUCCUUAGGAACUAAUUUUUCUGUAAUCACUUUCAAGUUCCAAAUUAGAAUAUUCCUAUAUUCAAUUUAUGCAGGUAAUUUUCCAUAAUACUAGUAGCAGUGACACAAUGCAAGUUUAGCAUAUGCAUUUUCAAUUUUCAUAAAGAGAAACUAAAUUUUCUAGUGCAGUUCAAAGCUUCUGGUAUUUCCUGAACUUCCUUUGACUUCCUACCACUAACUUGAGCCAGAAAGUCCAGUACAAUGUGUCCUGUGCUGCUGAAGAGUAAUUAUUUCACUUGUGCUAACCCAUAAGGGGGUCAGACUUCAUUAAUUCUAAUCUAUUUUAAACAGAUGUUAAAGGAAAUUAAUUUUCAAGUUUAAUUAAAACACGUUUUAAAUAUAGAUUAGCAAUAUCUAAGAAACCAUCAAAGAGGAGGUACUGCUCUUAUUGAACUUACACCCAUGGGACUUCAACAGAUGGAGAAUCAGACCCUUUCAUUUAUUCUUUAGUUAAACAGACCUGAUUCAGUGGUGUCUUACAUGACUGAUAUAUGAAAACCAGGCAUUUGUCAUACCUAUGUCACUUAAAAUUUACAACUGUAUAAAAACAGUUAAAAAACAUGAAAAUGCUUGCUCUCCCUCAUUUUUUGAAAGCACUGUAGUUUUUUGACAAUUAUGGUGGGAAUAAGCAAGUUGAUCAGAAAUAAGAGAAAACUGUUGUCAUUGUAAGGAAACCCACUUAUUCAGGUGGCACUUAGGAGUAUCUAUGCUGGAGAGAAGAUGGGCUUUUAAAAGCAUUUGCUUCUGUAAUGGGAAGAUUCAGUAUACUGGAAAAACCAUAGGUGGAUGGAGGUUUCUGCAUGACCCACCUGAUUUGCCAGAUCAGCAUGUGUUAGCAAUGUAUUACAGUGGCAGAACAGAAAGGGAAGUCUCUAGCUGAGUUAUAAUAGCAGAGGAUUUCUGCUGAAAAAUCAACUGGGAAAACCACAAACAGUGCCCAGUCUGAGCAUACAAGGCUCAGAAUACACUGCUUUGAUGGGAUUUCUUUCAUGGUUAUGGCACUGCAUUUUCUUACCUGAAGCAGACAGUACCCUUGAACAAGGCAGUAGGAUUGCUCUGGUGAAUAUCCUUACAAGUAGUGUAAUCAAAUGUCAUUGAAUAGAAGUUUUAUAGCACUAUUGAAAGUGUUCUGAAGAUGGAUAAGCAAGAAGCUCAGUCCUGCCGAUCCCAUUGCACACUUGAGAUCCCAAACAAGUGUUUAAAUGUGACCUCUACAAGGCCUUGAAAUUGUGUGGCAGGUAAGGAAGUGUUUUAUUAGCUACAGCCCAGUGUACAUAUCUGUAAUCUUGAAACUGAAAGCCAGCAGUGGAAAUGACAGAAAUUAUUAGCACGGAACCACAAGAACAGAAACACAUCAUUUCCCAGCAAUAUGGAGAUACAAAAGGAAAACUGCCUGCAGUAAGCAAGCCAAACCCAACUGUCUGAUAUGUAUCGCCUCCUAUAUGUUUUGAUUUUCCUUUAGCAUUCCAUAAUUUUUGUCUUUGUCUGCAAAACUUGCUUCAAUUAAAGAAACAGUCAUCUAUAUCCUAUCUAAAGGACACACUAGUGAAACUCCUUUGAUGUAUUGUACUCUUAGCAGAAUCUGCUUGCACCAUGUUUUCUGGGCAUGGUUAAGUCAUUAGAUUCUAAGUUAUAUUUCAAUAUGUCUCAGAGAUUGAAAGAGGCAAUGUAAGCACAUUGGUUAGUUCUGCUGGUUGACACCAAUUCUGGUGACAGGACAUGUUCUUAUGUCAAUGCUUUCUAAGGAAAUACAGGGGUAUAUAAAGGAAGACAACCGACCCAUGGCCUUUUUCACAUUCAUGACUGACACAGAGCAUUAAAGAAUAUACUGCAUAUAUUUAUGACAUAUCCAAAUAUUUAUGGGGGAAAAUAAGAUUUAUCUAUUAAA